AAAAGAGGGGGACCYUUCGGGCCUCUCGCGUCAGGKUAUGCCUAGGUGGGAUUAGCUAGUUGGUGAGGUAAGGGCUCACCAAGGCGACGAUCCCUAGCUGGUYUGAGAGGAUGAUCAGCCACACUGGAAACUGAGACACGGUCCAGACUCCUACGGGAGGCAGCAGUGGGGAAUAUUGCACAAUGGGCGCAAGCCUGAUGCAGCCAUGCCGCGUGUGUGAAGAAGGCCUUCGGGUUGUAAAGCACUUUCAGUCGUGAGGAAGGUAGUGUAGUUAAUAGCUGCAUUAUUUGACGUUAGCGACAGAAGAAGCACCGGCUAACUCCGUGCCAGCAGCCGCGGUAAUACGGAGGGUGCGAGCGUUAAUCGGAAUUACUGGGCGUAAAGCGCAUGCAGGUGGUUUGUUAAGUCAGAUGUGAAAGCCCGGGGCUCAACCUCGGAAUAGCAUUUGAAACUGGCAGACUAGAGUACUGUAGAGGGGGGUAGAAUUUCAGGUGUAGCGGUGAAAUGCGUAGAGAUCUGAAGGAAUACCGGUGGCGAAGGCGGCCCCCUGGACAGAUACUGACACUCAGAUGCGAAAGCGUGGGGAGCAAACAGGAUUAGAUACCCUGGUAGUCCACGCCGUAAACGAUGUYUACUUGGAGGUUGUGGCCUUGAGCCGUGGCUUUCGGAGCUAACGCGUUAAGUAGACCGCCUGGGGAGUACGGUCGCAAGAUUAAAACUCAAAUGAAUUGACGGGGGCCCGCACAAGCGGUGGAGCAUGUGGUUUAAUUCGAUGCAACGCGAAGAACCUUACCUACUCUUGACAUCCAGAGAACUUUUCAGAGAUGGAUUGGUGCCUUCGGGAACUCUGAGACAGGUGCUGCAUGGCUGUCGUCAGCUCGUGUUGUGAAAUGUUGGGUUAAGUCCCGCAACGAGCGCAACCCUUAUCCUUGUUUGCCAGCGAGUAAUGUCGGGAACUCCAGGGAGACUGCCGGUGAUAAACCGGAGGAAGGUGGGGACGACGUCAAGUCAUCAUGGCCCUUACGAGUAGGGCUACACACGUGCUACAAUGGCGCAUACAGAGGGCAGCCAACUUGCGAAAGUGAGCGAAUCCCAAAAAGUGCGUCGUAGUCCGGAUUGGAGUCUGCAA
rnacentral:rRNA from 1 species